CUGAACAGGCCUACCGGGGAAAGGCCCAGGGGCCCAAAAUGUCAGCUGCCUCCUGGGCCUUCACCUGCAAAAUGUCACUCAACAAGGCACCAACCAACCAAGAUAUAAAACAGAAGUGCUAAUAAACAGUAUAUUCACACAGCUCUCACUACUGUUGAUGCUCGGAGCAGCCAUGUUGAAUUGUGAUGUCGUAGUUGAUGAGGUUCUUCUCUUGGUGAGGAUCAACAGCAGUUGGACAGCCAGUAAAAGCCUCCUCCUUCCUCUUUAUAUACGACUAUGUCACAUGUCAGCUACAAAGAAACAGGCUCGGCCCGGAUUGGCUAAUUGGA